CCUUCCUUGUUUUCCCCGCCUAUAUACCACCGUCGUCAGCUUACCCUGUGAAGGACUCAUAGUAAGCAAGAUUGGCACAGCCCAAAACGUCAGGUCGAGGUGUAGCGUAUGGAAAGGGAAGAAAUGGGCUACAUUCCCUAAUACAGUGAAAUACGAACGAUACACUGAAAUACGUAUCCGAAGGAGGAUUUAGCAGUAAGCAGAAAAUAGAGCGUUCCGCUGAAACCGGCCCUGAAGCGCGCACACACCGCCCGUCACUCUCCCCAAGCUUACAACGCUAAGUACUUAAAACCCUAAAACUGCAAAGGGGAGGCAAGUCGUAACAUGGUAAGUGUACCGGAAGGUGCACUUGGAAAAAU
rnacentral:rRNA from 1 species